rnacentral:tRNA from 1 species
UCCUUCAUAGCUCAGUCAGUAAAUCAUCUGCCUGCAAUGCAGGAGACCCAGGUUCGAUCCCUGGGUCAGGAA